UACGUAGGGUGCGAGCGUUAAUCGGAAUUACUGGGCGUAAAGGGUGCGCAGGCGGCCAAGUGUGUUAGGCGUGAAAGCCUGAGGCUUAACCUCAGAAUUGCACCUAAAACUACAUGGCUAGAGCAUUGGAGAGGGUAGCGGAAUUCACGGUGUAGCAGUGAAAUGCGUAGAUAUCGUGAGGAACACCAGAGGCGAAGGCGGCUACCUGGACAAUUGCUGACGCUCAGGCACGAAAGCGUGGGGAGCAAAAAGGG
rnacentral:rRNA from 1 species